ACUUAAAUAGUUUAAAGAAAAAAUAUUAGUCUGUGGCACUAAAGAUGUAGAUUUACUUUAAGUA
rnacentral:tRNA from 1 species